ensembl:lncRNA
CUUUGCAGCCCGCCGCCGGCCCGCGCCUUCUCCGACCUCCUCGCCAUCCCCGCCCGGCCGUGCGUGCCCCGGGACGGCAGGGGGCGCGGGUGAGGCCGCGGGCAGAUCUAACUGAGCCCAUUGUAGGCCUGCUCUUGUAUGAAUAUUUCACCCUGCUACGUACCAGAUGGAGUAAGUGAUUGCAACCCUCUACCCCCAAUUGAAGGGAUGUGCAGGGGACCCUACCUGACUGGUGAGACCUCUGCGUCAGAUUUUCACUGGAGCCAUAGAGAGGUGUGCGCUCUCUGCUGUGAGAGCGAGGCUGGGAGAAUGUGUAAGGCUGGCACUCUUCCAGGCCAUUUGACUCCCACCAGAAUGAACCCAGCUGCUUAAGAAUGAAGCCAGCUCAGAAGGAAAGAGUGCAUGAGAGGAAGCACUGCACAUUCCUGACUUAGAUCCUUUGAGCAACUGGAUCCAGCCUAACCUGAAGCAAGACACCUCCCUGGACUUUGAGUAUGUAAGCCAAUAAACUUCUCCUCAUUAUAAGCCAGUUUGAGCCUGAUUUAUGGAAGUUAAGCAUCUUGGCCAAGAUAACAUAUCUAAUGAAUGUGGAGUAAUAUUCAGAUCCAUACAACCCUAAUUCCAUAUGGUUCUUAACCACCAUGCUCUAGCAUGGCACUUAGCAUCUACGGCAGGACAGAGCUCAGAGCCACAUCCCUUUCACUGCCUGGCCCUCACUGGGAGUCUCUUCCCUUCCAGAAGCAGCUGCCAAUUUGUUUAAGAGGGUAAUCGAUCGGAGUACAUCUCAGGUUUUUUUGUGGGUUUUGUGUUGUUUUGUUUGACUCUUAUAGAGGCAAAUAUCUCAGCUUUAUUUGGAUUGUUUGUUGCAUCCAAUCAUUAAAACCAUGUUCAUGUCUUGAUCACUUGGUGAAAGGCUAAAGUGGAAGUGAGAAAGUGUAAAAAGAAUACGGAAUUAAGGCCAGACACAGUGGCUCAUGCCUAUAAUCUCGGCUCUUUGGAAUGCCAAGGCAGGCAAAUCACUUGAGGUCAGGAGUUCAAGACCAGCUUGGUCAGCAUGGUAAAACCCCAUCUCUACUAAAAAUAUCAAAAAUAAUUGGCCAAGCAUUGCGGCUGCCACCUGUAAUCCCAGCUACUCAGGAGGUUGAGGCAGGAGAAUCACUUGAACCUGGGAGGCAGAGGUUGCAGUGAGCUGAGAUCAUGCCACUGCACUCUAGCUUGGGCAAGAUUCCAUCUCAAAAACAAAAAGAAGUAAGAUUCCAUCUCAAAAACAAAAAGAAAGAGAGAGAGUAAGAUUCCAUCUCAAAAACAAAAAGAGAGAGAGAGAGAAAGAAGAAAAAGAAAGAAAGGAAGGAAGGAAGGAAGGAAGGAAGGAAGGAAGGAAGGAAGGAAGGAAAGAAAAAAAUAGGGAAUUGAGAGCUUCAACCCUUGCCUAUUUUCUGACGACCCAAAUCAGGAGAUAUUUAUAGACAACCUCCGUAUUAGUCAGGACUCAGCUGCAGUGACAAAAACCUAACUUCCCUGUCUAAAACAAAACAAAACAAAACAAUAUUUAAAGAACUUUAGUGGUUCUCCUGACUGAAGAGCCAGGCAUAGGGGUGUUUUCAGGCAAGGCUGGCCUAUACA